rnacentral:rRNA from 1 species
AUGACUUUGACCUGGAGCAAAACAAUAAUGCAAAGGGGCCUCGUCAUGUGGUACAGGGGGAGCCGAAACCGGUAUGGAGGCUGCUACAUUAUUUGGCACUUCAUCUAUGACCUCAGGAACCGGUGUUUCCUCCACAACAGGCACUUCCACGUCAUUCGGUGGGUUGUAAACCUCCUCCUUGGGAUCCUCAUCCUCGUUGGUAUGAGGAACAGACUCAGAGAGAUCCGGCUCUGGCUGCGGCGAAGCCUCUACAAACAGGACAAUGUGCAAUUUAACAAAGGAUCACGUGGUUCACAAGUAAAUAAAAAUAUAGAUCAAGAUGUUACACACAACGCACCCUGCUCGCGAGGCACACUCUCCACAAGGGCAACAGUACCAUUUGCCAGGGCGGCAGCAGGGGCAACCACUGCAUCCAACUCCGGUGCCGGCGGCUGCUGCUGA